GGGCCUGUAGCUCAAUGGUUAGAGCCGGCCGCUCAUAACGGUCUGGUUGGGGGUUCAAGUCCCUCCAGGCCCA
rnacentral:tRNA from 1 species